GCACGGAUGCCCGAGCGGUUAAGGGGGCGGACUUAAGAUCCCCUGGUCGUAAAGACCUCGUGGGUUCGAAUCCCACUCCGUGCA
rfam:Eimeria tenella Houghton genomic scaffold, Eth_scaff32